UCACCGUGAGGCCCAGUAGAUCUCAACAUUUCGUAGAAGGAUCACUGACUCUGAGCUGCGUGGACGACGGCGGUUCUGAAAAAUGGAUCGUGUGGAGAAACACAACUACAGGAGUAGUGUCACAAUGUGGAAACAAAUGGGGAAGACAAAUUAACUCCGAUUGUAUCAAUAGUAUGGCACUUCUUUUGGACAGCGGAUUUUACUGGUGUGAGUCCAGCGGGGGAGCAGCCAGCAGCAGCAUCCAGCUCACUGUCACUGGUGGAUCAGUGAUCCUGCAGAGUCCUGUCCUCCCUGUGAUGGAGGGAGAUAACGUCACUCUGAGCUGUCUAACAAAGAACGAUGUCACCGCCCCUGCUACUUUCUACAAAGACGGCUCCCUCAUGAGCACUGAGCCUGCAGAUCAGACGACCCUUCACCAGGUUUCCAGGUCUGAUGGAGGCCUCUAUCGCUGUAACGUCAGGGGUCACGGAGACUCUCCAGCCAGCCGGCUCUACAUUACAGAUAAACCAAGACCCACAGCCCUGUCUACCUCUGCAACCUCUCCAAGCCUCGUGACUCCCCAACCCGUCUCAUCAUCACUUCCGAUCAGAC